rnacentral:tRNA from 1 species
GGGCGCGUAGCUCAGCGGUAGAGCGCCUGCCUUACAAGCAGGAUGUCGGCGGUUCGAAACCGUCCGUGCCCACCG